GACGAACGCUGGCGGCGUGCUUAACACAUGCAAGUCGAGCGGAAAGGCCCUUUCGGGGGUCCUCGAGCGGCGAACGGGUGAGUAACACUUGAGUAAUCUGCCCCUCACUUUGGGAUAACCUCCGGAAACGGUGGCUAAUACUCGAUCCGACCAUUCCACGCAUGAGGUGGGGGCGGAAGGUUUUUCGGUGGGGGAUGUGCUCGCAGCCUAGCACCUUGCUGGUGGGGUAAUGGCGUACCAAGGCUUCGACGGGUAGCCGGCCUGAGAGGGUGACCGGCCACACUGGGACUGAGAGACGGCCCAGACUCCUACGGGAGGCAGCAGUGGGGAAUCUUGGGCAAUGGGCGGAAGCCUGAUCCAGCAACGCCGCGUGAGGGAUGCCGGCCUUCGGGUUGUAAACCUCUUUCUCCUGUGACGAAGCGAAAGUGACGGUAGCAGGAGAAGAAGCACCGGCCAACUACGUG
rnacentral:rRNA from 1 species